rnacentral:rRNA from 1 species
GAUGAACGCUGGCGGCGUGCCUAAUACAUGCAAGUCGAGCGAACAGACGAGGAGCUUGCUCCUCUGACGUUAGCGGCGGACGGGUGAGUAACACGUGGAUAACCUACCUAUAAGACUGGGAUAACUUCGGGAAGCCGGAGCUAAUACCGGAUAAUAUAUUGAACCGCAUGGUUCAAUAGUGAAAGACGGUUUUGCUGUCACUUAUAGAUGGAUCCGCGCCGCAUUAGCUAGUUGGUAAGGUAACGGCUUACCAAGGCAACGAUGCGUAGCCGACCUGAGAGGGUGAUAGGCCACACCAGAAUUGAGACACGGUCCAGACUCCUACGAGAGGCAGCAGUAGGGAAUCUUCCGCAAAGGGCGAAAGCCUGACGGAGCAACGCCGCGUGAGUGAUGAAGGUCUUCGGAUCGUAAAACUCUGUUAUUAGGGAAGAACAAAUGUGUAAGUAACUAUGCACGUAUUGACGGUACCUAAUCAGAAAGCCACGGCUAACUACGUG